rnacentral:tRNA from 1 species
GCCGGAGUGGCGGAAUUGGCAGACGCACGGGACUUAAAAUCCCGCGGGGGCGACCCCGUGCCGGUUCGAUCCCGGUCUCCGGCACCA